rnacentral:tRNA from 1 species
UCCGGCUAUGGCGCGGCGGUGCCGUCCGCCGCGUCCUGCGCGGCCAGCGCGUCGAGUUCGGCCUGCUCGAAGCCGGCG